CACCGCCCGUCACACCAUGGAAGUCUGCUGCACCAGAAGUAGGUAGUCUAACCGCAAGGGGGGCGCCUACCACGGUGUGGCCGAUGACUGAGGUG
rnacentral:rRNA from 1 species